rnacentral:rRNA from 1 species
UACGUAGGGUGCAAGCGUUAAUCGGAAUUACUGGGCGUAAAGCGUGCGCAGGCGGCUUUGCAAGUCAGAUGUGAAAUCCCCGGGCUCAACCUGGGAACUGCAUUUGUGACUGCAUGGCUUGAGUGCGGCAGAGGGGGAUGGAAUUCCGCGUGUAGCAGUGAAAUGCGUAGAUAUGCGGAGGAACACCGAUGGCGAAGGCAAUCCCCUGGGCCUGCACUGACGCUCAUGCACGAAAGCGUGGGGAGCAAACAGG